rnacentral:lncRNA from 1 species
GUACCCCAAUAUGCACUAUUAUACCACGUUACCCCACCAUUUCAGUGGCUUCACUGCACUGCUAGUUAAGCAGUCUAUAAAACAUCUUUGGACAUAUUUAUCUACAUGGGGGAAAAAACAUGUGGGUAGAUAUAUCACCAACAUACCUCAAUCAGUACAGUGGACAAUAAACAAUGGUUGCAACACACAGGAAGAAACAGAUUGCCUGGAAAUAUUACAGACAUUUACACUCACAUAGAAACACUUAACACCCAUCUCUUAUAUUAUUAAAAACUACAAUUAAUUCUAUACUAAUAUUUAUAUUAAAUACUAC